GUUGGGAAUUCGGCUGCUGACUAUGAUCCUGUGGCCAGAAUGUUUAAGUCCUACUAAAAUUAACAUAUGGCAAUCAUACUACCAAAGAUGACAUUUACAAGUGGAUUCUUUGUGCAGGCAGGUUGAUGAUGAUCCCUCUCUCCUGAUCCAGGAUGGAUGGAUGUCCUCUGCAUACCUGUUCUCAGGUCUGUGCUCUCUGCUGACACCAGUACCAACUAGCUAACCAUGCUGGAGAAUUUUUCUGCAAUAAACUCUCUAAAUCCUACAGAUACACUCAUCUCUGUAUCCAUGGUACUGACCAAUGUCCAAAUAGAAAAUGAGUUAGAACGCAUGUGUGUGUGUGUGUGUUGUUUGAAAUCCAUUUCUUGUAAUGAUAUCUUACACAGCAGUAGGAUAUCAGAGCAUGUUCUUGUAAAUACACAAUGAGAAAAC
rnacentral:lncRNA from 1 species